GACUUUUUCAGGGCUCUGUGAGCGGACCGGCCAUCUCAGCAUAGUUUUUCAUAAAGCGCCGGUACCAGCCCGCAGUUUCCAGGAAACUACGCAAUUCUCGUAAAGGCGUAAAAUGGCCGACACACGAUGCGGAUCCAUCUUCAGCGCUCCUCCUCCCACUAUAAAUCCCAGACGCUCGGCAACCUGUCGCAGAAUCUUCACGUGCGUUUGGAAGUCCUCAGCUAUUAUCAGCAAGUCGUCGAGAUACGCAUAGACGUUUGAACGCAUCUCAACCGGAAUCACCUUAUCGACCAGUCUACAUAGGCGUUGUGCGGCGUUGCAGAGACCAAAGGGCAUCAUACGGAACUGGUACAGAGGCCGUCCCGGCACCGUGAACGCCGUAUAUCCUCGACUCUGCUAGUCCAGCUCGAUUUGCCAAAAAGCGAAUUUUAAGUCGACGCUGGAGAUAUAUAUCGUCUGAUCGAGACGC